rnacentral:lncRNA from 1 species
GAAAAAAAUAGCUGGAUCUACUCAACUUAUGCUUGAAUGAGCAAACUUGUGGCCUGGUUGUGGUUGCUACAACUAUACCCUGAUUUUCAGUGUCUGUUAUCUAUAGGUUGGUGGUGGGUUUUUUUCCAUGUAGAAUAUCUUGUGAUGUGGGAGAAUGAUGUUGUGCUUCCUUAGGGAGCUGGCUGGACAGGUUCAUGGGAGGCAGUAACCUGGCGGGACAUGUGAGCUUCACUGGGCUCUGCUGGAAAGGGGCAGAAAGAUAACAUAUCCGUGGAACAGGAUUUGUGAACUUG